GCUCGUCUAGCUUAGUCGGUAGAGCGCAAGGCUCUUAACCUUGAGGUUGAGGGUUUGAGCUCCAUUGUGUGCG
rnacentral:tRNA from 1 species